rnacentral:rRNA from 1 species
GCCUUAGUAACUGCGAGUGAAGCGGCAAAAGCUCAAAUUUGAAAUCUGGCCUCGUAAUGACUGCCUGAGUUGUAAUUUGGAGGGAUAUUUUGGUUGUCGACGUCAUCCUAAGUUCUUUGGAACUGGACAUCAUAGAGGGUGAGAAUCCCGUAAUGGAUGGGCGUUACAUUCCGAUAGAAUAUCUCCGACGAGUCGAGUUGUUUGGGAAUGCAGCUCAAAAUGGGUGGUAAAUUUCAUCUAAAGCUAAAUAUUGGCGAGAGACCGAUAGCGCACAAGUAGAGUGAUCGAAAGAUGAAAAGCACUUUGAAAAGAGAGUUAAAUAGUACGUGAAAUUGUUGAAAGGGAAGCGCUUGAGACUAGAUUCAGCCGACGGUGUUCAGCCAUUGCAUUAGCAUGGUGUACGUGCCGUUGGUUGAGCCAGCAUCGGUUCUGAUGGCGGGAUAAAGGUUUGAGGAAUGUGGCUCCACAAUUAUGGGGAGUGUUAUAGCCUCGAGCGCAAUGCCGCCUAUCGGGAUCGAGGACCGCGCUUAUGCUAGGAUGCUGGCUAAA